rnacentral:rRNA from 1 species
UGGGUAACCUGCCUCAAAGAGGGGAAUAGCCUCCCGAAAGGGAGAUUAAUACCGCAUAAUAUGUUUAGGUCGCAUGACUUUAACAUCAAAGGAUUUUUCUUUUAAGAAAUUCCACUUUGAGAUGGACCCCGCGGCGCAUUAGCUAGUUGGUGAGGUAACGGCUCACCAAGGCAACGAUCCGUAGCUGGUCUGAGAGGAUGAUCAGCCACACGUGGGACUGAGACACGGCCCAGACUCCGUAACGGGG